GUGGGGCUGUAGCUCAGUGGUAGAAUGCUUACCUGAAAUGGGUGAGGCACUGGGUUUGAUCCUCAGCACCACA
rnacentral:tRNA from 1 species